CCUACGGGAGGCAGCAGUGGGGAAUAUUGCACAAUGGGCGCAAGCCUGAUGCAGCCAUGCCGCGUGUGUGAAGAAGGCCUUCGGGUUGUAAAGCACUUUCAGCGGGGAGGAAGGCGUUAAGGUUAAUAACCUUGUCGAUUGACGUUACCCGCAGAAGAAGCACCGGCUAACUCCGUGCCAGCAGCCGCGGUAAUACGGAGGGUGCAAGCGUUAAUCGGAAUUACUGGGCGUAAAGCGCACGCAGGCGGUCUGUCAAGUCGGAUGUGAAAUCCCCGGGCUCAACCUGGGAACUGCAUUCGAAACUGGCAGGCCAGAGUCUUGUAGAGGGGGGUAGAAUUCCAGGUGUAGCGGUGAAAUGCGUAGAGAUCUGGAGGAAUACCGGUGGCGAAGGCGGCCCCCUGGACAAAGACUGACGCUCAGGUGCGAAAGCGUGGGGAGCAAACAGGAUUAGAUACCCGGGUAGUC
rnacentral:rRNA from 1 species